UUACUAGAGCAAAGGAUAGACAGCGCCCGCGGAGCUCGCUCCCGGGGCCACCCUACUCCGGUAGGGUUUAGAGUCGUCGGGCCUCUCGGAGAAGCUCGGUCCUGAACUCCACCCUUGAAUAAACUACCUUUGUUGCUUUGGCGGGCCGCCUCGUGCCAGCGGCUUCGGCUGUUGAGUGCCCGCCAGAGGACCACAACUCUUGUUUUUAGUGAUGUCUGAGUACUAUAUAAUAGUUAAAACUUUCAACAACGGAUCUCUUGGUUCUGGCAUCGAUGAAGAACGCAGCGAAAUGCGAUAAGUAAUGUGAAUUGCAGAAUUCAGUGAAUCAUCGAAUCUUUGAACGCACAUUGCGCCCUCUGGUAUUCCGGGGGGCAUGCCUGUUCGAGCGUCAUUAUAACCACUCAAGCUCUCGCUUGGUAUUGGGGUUCGCGGUUUCGCGGCUCCUAAAAUCAGUGGCGGUGCCUAUCGGCUCUACGCGUAGUAAUACUCCUCGCGAUUGAGUCCGGUAGGUCUACUUGCCAGCAACCCCUAAUUUUUUAAGGUUGACCUCGGAUCAGGUAGGGAUACCCGCUGAACUUAAGCAUAUCAAUAAGCGGAGGAAAAGAAACCAACAGGGAUUACCUCAGUAACGGCGAGUGAAGCGGUAACAGCUCAAAUUUGAAAGCUGGCUCUUUUAGGGUCCGCGUUGUAAUUUGUAGAAGAUGCUUCGGGUGUGGCCCCGGUCUAAGUUCCUUGGAACAGGACGUCAUAGAGGGUGAGAAUCCCGUAUGUGACUGGG
rnacentral:rRNA from 1 species